GAACACUGUAAACAGUACAACCAUACACCCAAGAUCGAUGACGUGAGAGUGUUACAAACGGAACAUCACUACAACAAGAGACUAACGAUAGAGAUGCUUCACAUCAAUAGUUUAUCAACAACAAAGAGAAUAAACAGCAAAGCAGACACGGACAAUACAGCUUACUGCUACAGGCAUUUAACAAAAAGAGAUCGUGCAAUAUGCAAAUAAUUAUCAGUGCAAUAGUAACACUUGACGGUAGUAGUCACACUACGCUAGUUUUAAGUUUAUUAUUUUAAUUAUUUGCAAAUCACCCUGAAGAUGAAACUCAAAGAGCUUCGAAAUAUUGGAAAAAGAAAAAUAAAUAAUUAAAAAACCAAAAAGUUUGACCUCAAGCUCAAAUAAUUGUUUUUAUUAACUAUCGAAAAAGGUCGAAAAACCAGAGAAAAUAUAUAUAUAUAUAUAUAUAUAUA